rnacentral:rRNA from 1 species
UACGAAGGGGGCGAGCGUUGUUCGGAAUUACUGGGCGUAAAGGGCGCGUAGGCGGCCCCUUUUGUCGCGUGUGAAAGCCCCCGGGCUCAACCUGGGAACGGCGCGCGAAACGGGGGGGCUUGAGUUCGGGAGAGGAGAGUGGAAUUCCCAGUGUAGAGGUGAAAUUCGUAGAUAUUGGGAAGAACACCGGUGGCGAAAGGCGGCUCUCUGGACCGAGACUGACGCUGAGGCGCGAAAGCGUGGGAGCAAACAGGAUUGAGAUACCCGUGGUAAGCA